rnacentral:rRNA from 1 species
CGGACCGGCGCACGGGUGAGUAACACGUAUGCAACCUGCCCUCUUCAGGGGGACAACCUUCCGAAAGGGAGGCUAAUCCCGCGUAUAUCGGUUUCGGGCAUCCGAGAUCGAGGAAAGAUUCAUCGGAAGAGGAUGGGCAUGCGGCGCAUUAGCUAGAUGGCGGGGUAACGGCCCACCGUGGCGACGAUGCGUAGGGGUUCUGAGAGGAAGGUCCCCCACACUGGUACUGAGACACGGACCAGACUCCUACGGAAGGCAGCAG